CCCUUAGAUGUCCUGGGCCGCACGCGUGCUACACUGACGCAUACAGCGAGCCUUCCCAGCCCCGAGAGGUGGCUGGUAAUCAGCAAUAUGCGUCGUGAUGGGGAUAGAUCUUUGGAAUUUUUGAUCUUGAACGAGGAAUGCCUAGUAAGCGCAGGUCAUCAGCCUGCGUUGAUUAAGUCCCUGCCCUUUGUACACACCGCCCGUCGCUCCUACCGAUUUCGGGUGGUCCGGUGAACCCUUUGGACCGGAGGCGGCCUCGUGCCGCCACCCGGGAAGUCGAGUAAACCACAUCACCUAGAGGAAGGAGAAGUCGUAACA
rnacentral:rRNA from 1 species